AUGGCUUAAACUCAAUGAGUAAGGAAACUAAUGUCUUACCUGACAAGUAAGACUACCCAAUGGGUUAAGUGACCCAUUGGUUCUAAUUUGUGACGGAUAUGGAACGGCCGUUGGUUUAGGAACCACUACUUUCGGGUGACUAAUAAGGGGCCGGUCCCCGC
rnacentral:snRNA from 1 species